rnacentral:rRNA from 1 species
GACGAACGCUGGCGGCGUGCCUAAUACAUGCAAGUCGAACGCGUCUACGUUAAUGAAAUCAAUGUGCUUGCACGGCGAUGGAUUUAACAUUAGACGAGUGGCGAACUGGUGAGUAACACGUGGGUAACCUGCCCUCAAGCAGGGGAUAACACUUGGAAACAGGUGCUAAUACCGUAUAACAACAAAAACCGCAUGGUUUUUGUUUGAAAGAUGGUUUCGGCUAUCACUUGAGGAUGGACCCGCGGCGUAUUAGCUAGUUGGUGAGGUAAUGGCUCACCAAGGCAAUGAUACGUAGCCGACCUGAGAGGGUAAUCGGCCACAUUGGGACUGAGACACGGCCCAAACUCCUACGGGAGGCAGCAGUAGGGAAUCUUCCACAAUGGACGAAAGUCUGAUGGAGCAACGCCGCGUGAGUGAAGAAGGGUUUCGGCUCGUAAAACUCUGUUGUUAAAGAAGAACAGGUACGAGAGGUAAUGCUCAUGCCAUGACGGUACCUUGCGAGAAAGCCACGGCUAACUACGUGCCAGCAGCCGCAGUAAUAC